rnacentral:rRNA from 1 species
GAUGAACGCUGGCGGCGUGCUUAACACAUGCAAGUCGAACGAGAAGUGAAGACGGAAACCUUCGGGCGGAAGGCUUUAUUUCGAGUGGCGGACGGGUGAGUAACGCGUGGGUAACCUGCCUCAUACAGGGGGAUAACAGUUGGAAACGACUGUUAAUACCGCAUAAGACCACAGCACCGCAUGGUGCGGGGGUAAAAACUCCGGUGGUAUGAGAUGGACCCGCGUUCGAUUAGCCAGUUGGCGGGGUAACGGCCCACCAAAGCGACGAUCGAUAGCCGAUCUGAGAGGAUGACCGGCCACAUUGGGACUGAGACACGGCCCAAACUCCUACGGGAGGCAGCAGUGGGGAAUAUUGCACAAUCGGGGAAACCCUGAUGCAGCGACGCCGCGUGAGUGAAGAAGUAUUUCGGUAUGUAAAGCUCUAUCAGCAGGGAAGAAAAUGACGGUACCUGAGUAAGAAGCCCCGGCUAACUACGU